UUUUUUUUUUUUUUGGCUUCCUGUUUCUUUCCACUGACCAGAGGCAGAAGACCAAGCCCUAGAGGAUGGCAGAGUCACAGGAUAGAAGGAGCCUGAAUCCCUGAACCACCAUAUAGGCAUGUUGAGCUAUUAUGUGUGCAAGCAAUAAAUCCUAGUAUGAAUGUGUGUGUUGCACCAGCCAGCACUCCUCUAUGCCAUGCCCCCAGCUACCCUGUGAUAAUCCCUGUUCUCUCCACCAGCAGGCUGUGUUGCCGUUGUCCGUUUACAUUUUCCUUUCUCUUCCUAACUAGAAGCAGGAGUGAGUCAAUUGACCUUUGAGUACUGUUAUGGGUUGGACUGUGUCCCCCCUCCAAAAAAAAAUAUGUCAAAGUCCAAACCCCCAGUACCUUAGAAUGUGACCUUAUUUAGAUGGAGGUCAUUGCUGAUACGAUUGGUUAAGAUGAGGUCAUAUAGGAAAACAGUGGGUCCCUAAUCCAAUAUGACUCUCCAGCCUUACAGGAAGAGAGAAAUGGGCACAGGCAUGCACAGACAGAAAAUAAUGUGAAGACAGAGACACACAGAGCCAAGGCCAUGUGAUGAUGAAGGCAAAGGCUGGAGAGAGGCAGCUACAGGCCAACGACACCCAGGGUGGCCAGCAGCCACCAGAAGCUGGAAGAGGCAAGGAAGGAUUCCACCCAGAGUCUCAGAGGGAGCAUGGCCCUGCUGACACCUUGAUUUUGGACUUCAGGAUCCAGACUGUGAGAAAAUAAAUAUUUGUCAUUUCAGGCCUCCUGGUUUGUGGCACUUUGUUCCGGCAGCCCUAAGGAACUCAUACAAGUACCAGCUUUUACAACAGUUCCAGAGCUGGAAGUUCAUCAGAAUUUGUGGGUGGAGUGGAGGAAGGAAGAGAGAGACAGGAGGAAGGAGAAUAAGAAGGAAGAAGAUGAAAGCAACUUGUUCCUGUUUGAUCUCCUUCUAGACAGUUACCAGGAGUUUUUUUUUUUUUUUUAAAGCUCUGGGCACAGGAAGAGAUUUCUUCCAAAGAAUAUCAUAAACAUGGGCUUCAAGCAUUCUCCUGAAGGAAGUGAGUGAAGCUGAGGAAACAUCUUCUUCAGAUCACCAAUUGACAAAAAUAAUACGAGGUUAUAAAGCUGGAGUAUCCCUAUAGCCUCAUAAGCUUGGAGAGAGAAGGAAACACAUUUUGAAAAAAGAUGGUGAGAGGCAGCAUUGCAUAAUUUCUGUUAAGUGUCUUCUGGGUACCAAUAGCCUAUAAAUAGACAGUGCAUCUAGUGUGGGAGCUAUCAUGGUGAGGAAGAGUAAAGACUAGGGUACCAGUCCCAGGCUACAGGCUCUGGAUCUUCCCAGAGUUGUCCAGAUGUGGGGUGGUGAGGUGGCCUGUGUCAAAGAGCUGAGGGCAGCACUGAAACCCCUGAGAGGGCAGCUGCGGGGCAGGAGUGAGGUAGAGGCUGAGUGGUGGGCUUGCUGAGCUGCCACAUGGCCGGGGAAGAACAAACCCUCUAUCCCAACAUUGGUGGCCUAGCCAUCCACAGUCCACCCCUGGGAGAGAUGCGGAUUGUGGUUUCCUAUUGCUGCUAUAGCAAAUUACCACAAAUUAGGGGCUUGAAACACAAUUUAUUAUCUUACAGUUCUGGAGGUUGGCUCAGAGAGGG
rnacentral:lncRNA from 1 species